rnacentral:rRNA from 1 species
UCGUAGUUGAAUUUCGGGAUCAAUUUGUUGGUCGUGCGUCGGUACGUACUGGCAUUAUUGGUUUUUCCCUUCUGAAGAACCUUGAUGUCAUUAAUUUGAUGUUUUGGGGAAUUAGGACUGUUACCUUGAAAAAAUUAGAGUGUUUAAAGCAGGCUUACGCUUGAAUACUUUAGCUUGGAAUAAAUGAAAUAGGACAGUUUGAUUCUAUUUGUUGUCAGAUACCC